AGUGAACGCUGGCGGCAGGCCUUACACAUGCAAGUCGAACGGCAGCGCAGGAUUCGUUGUUCCGUCGGUGGGGAGUGUGGUGAGUGUUUGAUCUGUACCUGCCUCUUCCCUUUUGUUUGGGCUACCCUCGCGGGAUUCGUACUCUUACCGCCCAUCAGAUACACGUGUGAGAACGGGAUCUCUCGCGCUUUUGCAGCUUUCGAUGUCGGAUUAGCUAGUUGGUGGGGUAAAGGUUUACCAAGGCGACGAUGCGUAGCUGGUCUGAGAGGAUGAUUAGCCACACUGGGAAUGAGACACGGCCCAGACUCCUACGGGAGGCAGCAGUGGGGAAUAUUGGACAAUGGGCGCAAGCCUGAUCCAGCCAUGCCGCGUGUGUGAAGAAGGCCUUCGGGUUGUAAAGCACUUUUGUUGGGAAAGAAAAGCAGCGGGUUAAUACCCGGUUGUGAUGACGGUACCCAAAGAAUAAGCACCGGCUAACUUCGUG
rnacentral:rRNA from 1 species